UAAUGACCCCUUCAGUCUCUAGGAAACUCACGCCAUACUCUCCCUCUCUCACAAACCUUAAAACAUAUUUUAUACAUUCUUGGGUGAUACUUUGAAUAAAUAUUUUCUAAGUCUCACAAAUUAUUUUGUCACACAAAACUAGUCAUUCUCAUUAUCUCAAGUGAUCGUCAAGUCUUUCUUCUCAAUACGUAGUUCUUCGUUUUCACCCAUUGGAUCGUUGAAAGUAACACCGGGACGAGAUGUAUAGUGUGUGUACCGUAGCUGUGAAUUUAGGCUAGUAUUAUGCUUGGAAGGAAAGCGUCUAAGGUAAGGGCUUUUUCCCCAUACAUUCAUGCUACAUAAGUUUGUGUUGUGAGAUGAUAGUGGAACCUUUAUCACUUAAAAUGAACCAAAAGAAUCAACUUUAUAAUAAAAAGAAAGAGGGGUAGGGUACUUGGAAUUAUUGGUUGGGUUCAUUUGUAUAUGUAAAAUGUUUUGUUGAUUGUGUUUCUACUUUAUCAGUAUAUAUAUAUAUAUAUGUAUUAUUAUGAGCUGCUUCAAUGCUUGUUGUUAGUCUAUUAUUCACGCAUGUACCAUAUAAUAUAUAUUGUUAGACGUGCUGUUAUGUUUUGUUUUCAAGUCUAUGUUGAGCUCUGUGUGGUAUGUCCUGAUCAAUGUUUAAAGAAGUAAAAAAAAUUUAACCACUUUAUAUUUAGACCGUGAGGGGAAAAUUGUGGAUUAGUCCCAUUGUCAAUGACUUAUAGUAUAAACCAAGGUAUAUAAAUAAGAGUACAAGGAGUAUUAGUGUAGUAGGUUACGACUGGUUUAUUUAAUAAGUCAUUUUCCUUAUACUAGAGGCAUGCAUCAUAUAGAUGAGUAUAGAAGAGUCAGUUAAGUGCCUUUGUGGCAAGUUUUAGGGCCUGUGUGGCAGAACUUACUUUUAGCCUGUGUGGCAGAACUUAUUUUU
rnacentral:lncRNA from 1 species